GUCGAGCGAAUCGGAGGGAGCUUGCUCCCAAAGAUUAGCGGCGGACGGGUGAGUAACACGUGGGCAACCUGCCUGUAAGACUGGGAUAACUUCGGGAAACCGGAGCUAAUACCGGAUAAUCCUUUCCCUCACAUGAGGGAAAGCUGAAAGACGGUUUCGGCUGUCACUUACAGAUGGGCCCGCGGCGCAUUAGCUAGUUGGUGAGGUAACGGCUCACCAAGGCCACGAUGCGUAGCCGACCUGAGAGGGUGAUCGGCCACACUGGGACUGAGACACGGCCCAGACUCCUACGGGAGGCAGCAGUAGGGAAUCUUCCGCAAUGGACGAAAGUCUGACGGAGCAACGCCGCGUGAGCGAAGAAGGCCUUCGGGUCGUAAAGCUCUGUUGUCAGGGAAGAACAAGUGCCGGAGUAACUGCCGGCACCUUGACGGUACCUGACCAGAAAGCCACGGCUAACUACGUGCCAGCAGCCGCGGUAAUACGUAGGUGGCAAGCGUUGUCCGGAAUUAUUGGGCGUAAAGCGCGCGCAGGCGGUCCUUUAAGUCUGAUGUGAAAGCCCACGGCUCAACCGUGGAGGGUCAUUGGAAACUGGGGGACUUGAGUGCAAAAGAGGAGAGUGGAAUUCCACUUGUAACGGUGAAAUGCGUAGAGAUGUGAAAAGAAAGCCAU
rnacentral:rRNA from 1 species